AAUACGGAGGGCGCAAGCGUUGCUCGGAAUCACUGGGCGUAAAGGGUGCGCAGGCGGUCUAUUAAGUCAGAUGUGAAAGCCCGGGGCUCAACCCCGGAACUGCAUCUGAAACUGGCAGACUUGAGUAUGAGAGAGGAAAGUGGAAUUCCUGGUGUAGAGGUGAAAUUCGUUGAUAUCAGGAGGAACAUCAGUGGCGAAGGCGACUUUCUGGCUCAUAACUGACGCUCAUGCACGAAAGUGUGGGUAGCAAACAGGAUUAGAUACCCUGGUAGUCCACACCGUAAACGAUGAAUGCUAGUUGCACGGCUCAUUUGCAUGCUGUGUGACGCAGCUAACGCAUUAAGCAUUCCGCCUGGGGAGUACGGUCGCAAGAUUAAAACUCAAAGGAAUUGACGGGGGCCCGCACAAGCGGUGGAGUAUGUGGUUUAAUUCGACGCAACGCGCAGAACCUUACCCAGUCUUGACAUCCCUGGACCACUAUGGAGACAUAGCUUUUCGACCUAACGGAAGAAUCAGGUGACAGGUGCUGCAUGGCUGUCGUCAGCUCGUGUCGUGAGAUGUUCGGUUAAGUCCGGUAACGAGCGCAACCCCUGUCCUUAGUUGCCAAUUAUGGAACUCUAAGGAGACUCCCGGUGUUAAACCGGCGGAAGAUGGGGAUGACGUCAAGUCCUCAUGGCCCUUAUCGGCUGGGGCUACACACGUACUACAAUGGCAACUACAAAGAGCUGCGAAGUCGCGAGGCCAAGCUAAUCUCAAAAAAGUUGCCUCAGUUCGGAUUGGAGUCUGCAACUCGACUCCAUGAAAUUGGAAUCGCUAGUAAUCGCGGAUCAGCAUGCCGCGGUGAAUACGUUCCCAGGCCUUGUACACACCGCCCGUCACACCACGAAAGUUGAAUUGACCCGAAGUCGUGCACCUAACCCUUGUGGAGGGAAGCGCCUACGGUUGGUUCGAUGAUUGG
rnacentral:rRNA from 1 species